rnacentral:sRNA from 1 species
CAACGGCACCUGAACACGCCGUCAUCUGGUUACAGGCCUGUCCCCCGCCGAAGCCAGAUGUAAGGACAAAGGCCUAUCCCCCCCUCUCCGGGCCUUUGUCCAACUUCUAACAAAAACCGCCGUGGCCCCGCCUCCGCCAUGGCGGUUUUUG